GGUCAAGCUACUAAGGGCACAUGGUGGAUGCCUUGGCGCAAGUAGGCGAUGAAGGGCGUGGCUAGCUGCGAUAAGCUUCGGGGAGCCGCUAAGCAGGCUUUGAUCCGAAGAUUU
rnacentral:rRNA from 1 species